rnacentral:lncRNA from 1 species
CAUCGUGUUUAGCAGCAUUUACUCGACUCAUAGCCGCCACAGCUCGCAAUUCUUUAUCACGACGUUUUUUCGUCGAAAACCGACCCUUGAAUCUCACUCGUAAUGACAUUUUCACACUCUUUUGUUAACAAUAUUUCGUGAUCGGAAGAGAAC